UCAAAACCCACAGCAACCACAAGGAGAUGAACGGCUGAACGGCAUGACCAAGGCUGAACGGCUGAAGGAGAUGAACGGUGGUCGACGGCAGUGACGUUCCAGCAUUCUCGGCGGCGUCGACGGCGGUUCCAGCAGUCACGGCGGCGCACUACCGUGGCUCCAGCAGUCACGGCGGCGCAGGUCUCGGCUCCAGCAGGCUCUCCGGCGAUGCUGGUUGCUCACGGUUCCAGCCGUGGCUUCAGUUGUGGACUAAGGCUCGAUGAAAAAGGGACAAGCAGGGCUAAGGUCGACAAUGAAGGGAUAUUGACAGAGCUCUAAUGGCGAGGGCUUGAACGGCGCAGGCGAGGGUCGACUGUGUCUUCAUUGAAGAGGUCGGACAGGACUAAGUUGGAACAAGAUAAUGUGCAUCAAAUUCAUUCUGCUGCUCCCUGAUCCAAACCAACAGAACAAAUAGUGCAAGGAACACAAUGGGGACAAAUAAGAUUUGGUGGUUGAACAUUUGAAGAAUCUUUUCCUAGUUGAGCUUAAUAUCAGAAGUAGGAAAUGGUUAACAGAUAUGGAGUGUUUUGAUUUAGAGAAAAUAUCAUGUUGCAGUGCAUAGAUGGGUUCAAGCAUUUAUUUGCUUCCCUAUUGCGGUGCUUUGAUCUCGACUUGUAUAACCAAUCAAGAGGCCUAGACGAUCCUGCAGUUCUAGCAGAGGAGACAGUGUUUAGCGUAAGCGAAAUUGAAGCACUUUAUGAACUUUUUAAGAAGAGCAGUAGUACUGUGAUUGAUGAUGGAUUAAUCAACAAGGUCUAUAUUGAGAUGCAUUUCUUUGGCGCAAUACUAGACAACAUUGACAGUUGAAGUUUUUAGAAUAAAAAAUAUAUCUCACUAACAUUGGAUACAUUUCUUGUUUAUUAUUUGAUGAUGACAAAAUUUGAUUCUAGUAUAAACUAUCAUGUAAUAUGAUUUUGUAAGCUGAGUAGACUAAAUACUGAAAUUAUAUUUUUGAGUAAUUAAUAAAAAAUUAUUUUGUUGUA